UACGUAGGUGGCAAGCGUUGUCCGGAUUUACUGGGUGUAAAGGGCGCGUAGGCGGGUAUGCAAGUCAGAUGUGAAAUUUAUGGGCUUAACCCAUAAACUGCAUUUGAAACUGUGUAUCUUGAGUGAUGGAGAGGUAAGUGGAAUUCCUAGUGUAGCGGUGGAAUGCGUAGAUAUUAGGAGGAACACCAGUGGCGAAGGCGACUUACUGGACAUUAACUGACGCUGAGGCGCGAAAGCGUGGGGAGCAAACAGG
rnacentral:rRNA from 1 species